rnacentral:rRNA from 1 species
UACGGGGGGGGCAAGCGUUGUUCGGAAUUACUGGGCGUAAAGGGCUCGUAGGCGGCCAACUAAGUCAGACGUGAAAUCCCUCGGCUUAACCGGGGAACUGCGUAUGAUACUGGAUGGCUUGAGUUCGGGAGAGGGAUGCGGAAUUCCAGGUGUAGCGGUGAAAUGCGUAGAUAUCUGGAGGAACACCGGUGGCGAAGGCGGCAUCCUGGACCGACACUGACGCUGAGGAGCGAAAGCCUGGGGAGCAAACGGG